rnacentral:rRNA from 1 species
GCAGAGCAUCCUACGGGAGGCAGGCAGUGGGGAAUAUUGGCACAAUGGGCGCAAGCCUGAUGCAGCCAUGCCGCGUGUAUGAAGAAGGCCUUCGGGUUGUAAAGUACUUUCAGCAGUGAGGAAGGUGGGUAUGUUAAUAGCAUACUCAUUUGACGUUAGCUGCAGAAGAAGCACCGGCUAACUCCGUGCCAGCAGCCGCGGUAAUACGGAGGGUGCGAGCGUUAAUCGGAAUUACUGGGCGUAAAGCGCAUGCAGGUGGUUUGUUAAGUCAGAUGUGAAAGCCCGGGGCUCAACCUCGGAAUUGCAUUUGAAACUGGCAAACUAGAGUACUGUAGAGGGGGUAGAAUUUCAGGUGUAGCGGUGAAAUGCGUAGAGAUCUGAAGGAAUACCGGUGGCGAAGGCGGCCCCCUGGACAGAUACUGACACUCAGAUGCGAAAGCGUGGGGAGCAAACAGGAUUAGAUACCCUGGUAG